rnacentral:rRNA from 1 species
AGUGGCGAACGGGUGAGUAACACGUGGGUGAUCUGCCCUGCACUUUGGGAUAAGCCUGGGAAACUGGGUCUAAUACCGAAUAGGACCGCGCUCUUCAUGGGGUGUGGUGGAAAGCUUUUGCGGUGUGGGAUGGGCCCGCGGCCUAUCAGCUUGUUGGUGGGGUAAUGGCCUACCAAGGCGACGACGGGUAGCCGGCCUGAGAGGGUGACCGGCCACACUGGGACUGAGAUACGGCCCAGACUCCUACGGGAGGCAGCAGUGGGGAAUAUUGCACAAUGGGCGCAAGCCUGAUGCAGCGACGCCGCGUGAGGGAUGACGGCCUUCGGGUUGUAAACCUCUUUCAAUAGGGACGAAGCGCAAGUGACGGUACCUAUAGAAGAAGGACCGGCCAACUACGUGCCAGCAGCCGCGGUAAUACGUAGGGUCCGAGCGUUGUCCGGAAUUACUGGGCGUAAAGAGCUCGUAGGUGGUUUGUCGCGUUGUUCGUGAAAACUCACAGCUUAACUGUGGGCGUGCGGGCGAUACGGGCAGACUAGAGUACUGCAGGGGAGACUGGAAUUCCUGGUGUAGCGGUGGAAUGCGCAGAUAUCAGGAGGAACACCGGUGGCGAAGGCGGGUCUCUGGGCAGUAACUGACGCUGAGGAGCGAAAGCGUGGGGAGCGAACAGGAUUAGAUACCCUGGUAGUCCACGCCGUAAACGGUGGGUACUAGGUGUGGGUUUCCUUCCUUGGGAUCCGUGCCGUAGCUACGCA